rnacentral:rRNA from 1 species
CCUACGGGAGGCAGCAGUGGGGAAUAUUGCACAAUGGGCGAAAGCCUGAUGCAGCAACGCCGCGUGAAGGAAGAAGGCCUUCGGGUCGUAAACUUCUGUCCUUGGGGAAGAAGAACUGACGGUACACAAGGAGGAAGCUCCGGCUAACUACGUGCCAGCAGACGCGGUAAUACGUAGGUGGCAAGUGAUAUCCGGAAUUCUUGGGCGUAAAGAGUAAGUAGGUGUCAACCUAAGCGCAGGGUUUAAGUCAAUGGAAAAACCAUUGUUCGCCCUGCGAACUGGGAUGCUUGAGUGCAGGAGAGGAGAGCGGAAUGCCUAGUGUAGCGGGGAAAUGCGUAGAUAUUAGGAAGAACACCAGUGGCGAAGGCGGCUUUCUGGACUGUAACUGACACUGAGGUACGAAAGCGUGGGGAGCAAACAGGAUUAGAUACCCUUGUAGUC